CCUACGGGAGGCAGCAGUGAGGAAUAUUGGUCAAUGGCCGGGAGGCUGAACCAGCCAAGUCGCGUGAGGGAAGACGGCCCUACGGGUUGUAAACCUCUUUUGUCAGGGAGCAAGGUGCAGGUCGGGACCUGCUGUGAGAGUACCUGAAGAAAAAGCAUCGGCUAACUCCGUGCCAGCAGCCGCGGUAAUACGGAGGAUGCGAGCGUUAUCCGGAUUUAUUGGGUUUAAAGGGUGCGCAGGCGGAGGCACAAGUCAGCGGUAAAAUCGCGGGGCUCAACCCCGCUCCGCCGUUGAAACUGUGUCCCUUGAGUGCGCGAAGGGUAGGCGGAAUGCGUGGUGUAGCGGUGAAAUGCAUAGAUAUCACGCAGAACUCCGAUCGCGAAGGCAGCCUAUCGGCGCGCAACUGACGCUGAGGUUCGAAAGCGUGGGUAGCAAACAGGAUUAGAUACCCCAGUAGUC
rnacentral:rRNA from 1 species